UACAGAGGUGGCAAGCGUUGUUCGGAAUUACUGGGCGUAAAGGGCGCGUAGGCGGCCUUCUAAGUCAGACGUGAAAUCCCCCGGCUUAACCUGGGAAUUGCGUCUGAUACUGGGAGGCUAGAGUAUGGGAGAGGGAUGUAGAAUUCCAGGUGUAGCGGUGAAAUGCGUAGAUAUCUGGAGGAAUACCGGUGGCGAAGGCGGCAUCCUGGACCAUUACUGACGCUGAGGCGCGAAAGCUAGGGGAGCAAACGGG
rnacentral:rRNA from 1 species